UGUGCUAUACUAGUAAGGUUGAAUGAAUCAACCCUUGGUGCUUAGCUUCUUUCACCAAGCAUAUUACACGCGGAUAACCGCCAAAGGAGAAAAGAUG
rnacentral:ncRNA from 23 species